AAAAAGGCUUUUUGUCAGGGCAGCCCCUCGUGCUUUCGCCGUGAGGUCACUGGAGUUAGCGAAGCGUGGGGUGGUUUGUCCCGGCUCCGUGUUCCCGAUCCGUGCCGUGGCACUUUGGGAUGGAAAAGUACAGGCGGAUGAAAACGAGAGCUUUUAAUUCAUCUGGAGUUUGAGAAACAGUAACUUGCAGGAGCGGUUCUGAGGACAGCUGGGCAUUGAGCUGCGUGUUGGCGCAGCACAGUGAGCAAAGUGACCACCUCAAGCAGAUCUUUGGAAAGAACCAAGAAGGGAAGGUGCCACAGGCACUGUAUCCUCCAGUGUGAGGCGCUGAGUGGAGCAGUUACUGUCAUUUUGAACACACAUCCUGUCAAGACUGAAUCUUGUGUGGAACAAGCUCAUUUGUAGUCACGAGUACAGCCAGAGAACGAAGGAGAAGCAAGUGGCAAAGUCUCAAGACAACCAGGGAACAGAAGGGAGUGUUCAGCUGCUUGCAUUUAAGGUUAGUGUACCUGUUAACUGUGGGGCAGGC
rnacentral:lncRNA from 1 species